rnacentral:rRNA from 1 species
UACGUAGGGGGCAAGCGUUGUCCGGAAUUAUUGGGCGUAAAGCGCGUGUAGGCGGCCAGAUAAGUCCGCUGUGAAAUCUCGAGGCUCAACUUCGAGCUGUCGGUGGAAACUGUCUGGCUAGAGUCCGGAAGAGGAGAAUGGAAUUCCUGGUGUAGCGGUGAAAUGCGCAGAUAUCAGGAAGAACACCCGUGGCGAAGGCGGUUCUCUGGGCCGAUACUGACGUGAGGAGCGAAAGACGUGGGGAGCGAAACAGG